ensembl:piRNA 21ur-2451 ncRNA
UGAUACGAGUUUUGUGUACAG